rnacentral:lncRNA from 1 species
GCCGCCACUGUGACGGCGAGUCCGGCGAGAUCUUCGGAGGAGAAGGUGUACGAGGUGGUGCUGAAGCAGGCGGCGCUGUUGAAGGAGCUGAAGAAGAGGGCGGCGGCGGUGGAGAAGGAGGAGGAUGAGGCUGCGGUGGGGGGAGAUGAAGCAGUAGCGGGAACGGAAGCGAAUUGGGAUCUGCUGAAUGACGCUUACGAUAGGUGCGG